GAGAGGUGGCAGAGUUGGUCGAUUGCGUCUGAUUUGAAAUCAGAUGA
rnacentral:tRNA from 14 species